GAGAAGCUUGUAUGGGAAGUGUCAAGGUCAGCCGUCCAGUCAAAGUCAGGCGGCAGGGAAGAUCUGGUGGGUAAGCAGCACUCAGUUCACAUCUAACCUCAGCUUCACUGGCACCCGUGGUUUUGGAGACGAUGAAGUGACACAUGAGAAGAAACCAGCCAUAUGGGAAAUCUUUCCAGGCAGAGGGAAAUACAAGCACAAGAUUCCAGAAACCACCUUGGCAUGCCUGAUUCAUAGGAAGAGCUACUGAUGCAUGGCUGGCUCCGGGUGGGGUCGCUGUUCUGCCCUCCAUGAACCCAUAAAGGAAUGGGGCCUUCUAGGCCCCGCCCUCGAGACACUUAUGAUUUGGUCAAGACUCAUGUCCACUCACAGCGGCAAUGGAAAACUGGUGCAGGAGGAAGCCUCAGCAAUGAUUUAGCACAAACAAAGAAACAGAACAGAGAGGCUACAUGGUUUUCCCAAGGCCACACAGCAAGUCCAUUCCAGGGCUCAGACCAACUGGCAGCUGAGCCCCCAAAGUCCACACUGUGUGGACUGGCUUCUGUAGUUUUCUCCUGGAAAAAAAAUAAAACAACUACAAAUAAAAUCUCAAUAAGGUCUGCAUUAAA
rnacentral:lncRNA from 1 species